UCAAACUUGGUCAUUUAGAGGAAGUAAAAGUCGUAACAAGGUUUCCGUAGGUGAACCUGCGGAAGGAUCAUUAUUGAAUAAUCCUGGCUUGGUUGUUGCUGGUCUUUUUGGAGACAUGUGCACACCUAGUCAUCGUUAUAUUUCCACCUGUGCACCUUUUGUAGACUUGAAAACGGUUUUCCGAGGCAACUCGGUCGUGAGGAAUUGCUUAUACAGCUUUCCUUGAAUGUAUUCAAGCCUAUGUUUUUCAUAUACACCAUAAGAAUGUAACAGAAUGUCUUAUACACUUUAUACAACUUUCAGCAACGGAUCUCUUGGCUCUCGCAUCGAUGAAGAACGCAGC
rnacentral:misc_RNA from 1 species